CCUACGGGUGGCAGCAGUGAGGAAUAUUGGUCAAUGGGCGAGAGCCUGAACCAGCCAAGUCGCGUGCAGGAUGACGGCCCUACGGGUUGUAAACUUCUUUUGUCAGGGGGCAAUAUGCUCCACGCGUGGUCUUAGCGAGAGUACCUGAAGAAAAAGCAUCGGCUAACUCCGUGCCAACAGCGGCGGUAAUCCGGAGGAUGCGAGCGUUAUCCGGAUUUAUUGGGUUUAAAGGGUGCGUGGGCGGAAUAUCAAGUCAGCGGUAAAAAUUCGGGGCUCAACCCCGUCGUGCCGUUGAAACUGAUGUUCUUGAGUGGGCGGGAAGUAUGCGGAAUGCGUGGUGUAGCGGUGAAAUGCAUAGAUAUCACGCAGAACUCCGAUUGCGAAGGCAGCAUACGGGAGCCCAACUGACGCUGAAGCACGAAGGCGUGGGUAUCGAACAGGAUUAGAUACCCUUGUAGUC
rnacentral:rRNA from 1 species